rnacentral:rRNA from 1 species
AUGCACAAUGUCGUAAACAAAACAAUGUAUGCACUAAAUAAGAGAUGUUGGCUGCAUGUAGAAACAACCUAUAAUUCUUAUCAAUCAUGCUUUUCAGGAUUGUUGUGUUGCGUGGUUCGAGCUGCAGCGUAUGGCAUUAUUGGUGUGACAGUGUGGUUGUUUCUCAGUGCACGACAAUUGCUCCAUGGGAAUUACUACGGCGAAGUACUCUCAAAGUCAUUUUUAGCACUACACGUAAAAUUAUUUGGUUUUGUAAUAUUUACAAAGGGCAAUCUUUCAAAUGUAUAUUUUAGAGAAGUACAAAAAAUUAGUCAUUACAUGAAGAUAUAA